UACGGGGGGGGGUAAGCGUUGUUCGGAAUUACUGGGCGUAAAGGCUCGUAGGCGGCCAACUAAGUCAUACGUGAAAUCCCUCAGCUUAACUGGGGACUGCGUGUGAUACUGGAUGGCUUGGAUUUGGGAGAGGGAUGCGGAAUUCCAGGUGUAGCGGUGAAAUGCGUAGAUAUCUGGAGGAACACCGGUGGCGAAGGCGGCAUCCUGGACCAAUAUUGACGCUGAGGUGCGAAAGCGUGGGGAGCAAACAGG
rnacentral:rRNA from 1 species